rfam:Cavia porcellus supercont2_2 genomic scaffold, whole genome shotgun sequence.
CCAACGGCCCUUUUUAGGGCUACCCACACAGUCACUAGGAGGGCUG